GGCCUGGCUGGGCCGCGGCGAGACUGGGCCCCGGCCCCGGCGCCGGGAGGUGGCGCCGCCCCGCGCCCAUGGCAACGGCGCCGGGCCUCCCUGCCGCCGCUGCUGCUGCCGCCGCUGGCGGGCGGGCGGGCCGGCCGACACGAUGUCCUGGCUGCCCGAGCCCCCCGCCUCACGGGCGCCCUCUCGCUCCCCGGCCCUGUCGCCGGCCCCCGGCCCCUCUCGCUGCGGCGGGGAGCGGCGCAGGAACGCCUUGGACGCCGGUGCGGGUCUCGGCACCGUCCAGGAUAGACAGUUAAGAUCGGUGGAUCUGAAUCAUGUCAUCAGACUACUCGAAGAUUCAGACUCGAAAGAUUUGGAAACAGAGCAGCUGAAGACUCUCAAGAAGGUAGUCAAGCAUUUUGAAAAUGGGUUUCCACUUAGGGAUUUAGCACAAGUAAUCGAAAUUCUUAACCUGUGUGCAGAAAAAACAACUGAACAAGAAGCUUUCACUGAGCCUUUAUGUGAACUUAUUAAAUUAUGUGGGUUACCAUUUCAGAAAAAGAAAUUAUCUGAUGAAGUAAGCUAUUCCGUGGCAGUUUCAAAAUCCAUUGCACAACUGGGUUAUUUGAUGAGGGUGCCAAGCUCUCAAGUUAGAAUACAAAUCUGUAAGUGUGUUGUUAGCUUUUAUAAUAUGGAGCUACCAAGAAAACUACUUUCAGGUUACCAGCCAACAAGUGCAAACUAUAAAAUUCAAAUGGCUGAAUUAGGGGGAUUGGCAGAGACUCUCGUUUUGUCACUAGCAUUAGUUGAAAAUCAGCUUACUGAGAAGUUGUGGGUACUCAAAGCUCUCCAGCAUCUCUCCAGCUCUGGAGUAAAUUGCAGACUUAUGAUGAAGGCCCAAGCAGCCAGCAGGCUCUGUUUGUAUCUAAAUGGUGUCGAUCCGUCAGGACAGCUGGUGUUCCGCUCCUCAGAAAUCCUGUGGAACCUGCUAGAAAACACAUCAAAAGAAGAAGUCAUUAAUCAGCUCAGUAGCUUGGAGUGUGUACAUGCUUUGAAAGAAGUAUUUGUAGACCUUCUCGUGCAUGGUUUCCGGCAUUAUGAUCGUCAGCUACGGAAUGACCUCUUGGUGAUUGCCACAUUACUAGCUGAAAACCCUGCAGCACCUAUGAUUGAAAGUGGAUUUGCAAAGCUGUUAAUAGUUCUUGCAACAUUUACUGAAGUUAAAAUUCCCAAUCCCUUGGUAAAAGGUCUUAAACUUACCUACUCUUCUGAGGACUUCGAGAUGAAGAAGUUACUAUUUAAUGUAAUAGGAGUCUUAUCUAAAGACCCCUGUGCUGUACAGCUUCUCAGUGAAAAUGAUGUGAUGCCAGCUUUGCUUUAUUAUGUAAAACCAAAUAAGAAACGUGGAUUUCAUGACUGGUCCGCUGCCCAGUAUGAAGAAUUACAGCUUCAUGCAAUUGCUAUUUUAGCUUCAGUGGCUCCCUUGCUAGUAGAUAAAUAUUUGUCCUGCCAAGCGAACACUCUUCUCCUUAUGUUUCUAGAAUGGUGUAUAGGCCAAGAUCCUUUCUUUGGUGAAGGUAACAGUUUCCAUGGAACAGGUGGUCGUGGCAACAAACUUGCACAAAUGCGCUACAGCCUGAGAGUGCUGAGAUCUGUUGUGUCCCUUUAUGAUGAUGCUGUGAACAUUAAUUUGUGUGACCAGGGAGCAAUUAGCCAGCUACUGGACAUCCUGAAGUAUGCAGCAAACAAAUCUAAAGAGAAAGAAGAUGCCAUUCUACUGGAAAUCGAAGCUGAUAUAUUAUUUAUUUUGUCUGCUCUCUGUGAAAAUGAUCUCCACAGAAAGGAACUCUUCAGCUAUGAAGGAGUGGAUAUACUUAUCCCAUUCAUUCGGAUGGAUCCAAAGAAGUUACAUAGUGGAUUAGGCCACAAUCAUCUCCUCUUCAGUGCACUUGACUGCUUGUGGUCCUGUGUCAUUGGAUGUUACAUUGCAGAGGAUUAUUUUCUUGAAAAACAUGGCAUUUUUCUCCUUCUGGAUUUGUUGGCAGUAAAGCAAAAGAGCCUGUGCAAUAUAAUUCUUGGAAUCUUGGUUGAAUUUUGUGACAACCCUAAAACCACUUCACACAUCAGUACCUGGCGAGGGGAGAAAGAUCAAACAGCAGCUAACCUUCUAAUACAAUUAUGGAGACAGGAGGAAUUGGAGCUAGGAGUCAAACGUGAUCAAUAUGGAAGGAUUGUAGACAUGAAGAGACCUGUUGCUAGCAGCUUCCAGAAACAGCAAGAGGUCAUCCCCAUGCCUGCCAACUGUCCUAGCUUUGCCAUCAUGGAAGUUUCAGAAAACAUACGGGCAAAACUUUAUUCACUACUGUGCAAGCUCGGUUUUGAAAAUUUACCUGGCUUAUCUGCUAAGGAUUUUGUCACGCUUGCUAUCAUACGGCGUUAUAUUGACUUUAAAGUUGGAGAAGUUUGGAGUGAACUGUGUGCAGAACUAAAAGAAGAAUUCAGGCCUGUUGAGUCAGAUGAGGAAGCCUUGAAAGUUAUUUCAGAGAUAUCAGAAAAUACUGGAAGAAUGAUUGCUGCUCUGCAGACUGAAGUGCUUGAAAGUCAACAUCACCAAGAAAUCCAAGAGGAGGAGAAAACAUAUGCAAAGGUAAGACAAGGAGUAUUUAAACAAGUAAAGCCCAUGUAAAGCUUUUUUGUCAACCUGUAUGAAGAUUUUCCCAUUAUAUAAUGUUGAGAAUUCUGUAUGGGUACACUGAAGAUAUAUUAAUCUGUCUCAGCAGUAAAAUUUUAACUUUAAAUUAAAUUAGGUUAACCUCAGUUCUCCCAGUUUGUAUAAUAUUGCCAAUAUUUAGAGAGUAACAUGAAAAAAUGAAGCAGUAUCAUCAGUGACGCAUCAGCAAUAGUGUAAUGAGAAAUGAUCAUUAUGUUACUGUAAGAGCUGCACUUGUGUUCAUCUGUAGCAGGUAGCAAUUUAAAGUACCUAUUACAACUACAUCUGCUUCUUAAAAUGAAACACAAGCCUCUGUUAUAAGCUCCCCUGGCUGAAUAUUCUCAAAGCUUCAUUACUUCACAAAGCAGGGCUUUGUGCUUCCCAGCAUGCUGAGAGUGAGCAGGUAUAGAUGUUUUCCAACUUUGGUUAUAAGGCAAGCAUUUGGCAUUUUUGCUCAUCUACUGCCUCAUCCUCUCUUGCUCUCUGAGAAGUAAGAACAAUUGGUCCAGUUGUCUAAACUCUCAUGCUAGUGUUUUUGAGGGGUUGUCAUGCAUUAUGAUGCCUGCACUUUUGUCACCAGAACUGAUUCCAUCUCUGUUAUUCAGCAUUAGAGUGACAAUAUACAGAAAGUAUUCCUGAAAGAGUUGGUACUCUUCCAACAUCUGUUUUGGAAGAGAGGAAAAUUUGUUGCAACAGAGAAGAUCCAAGCUAUCCAUAAGCAGAGAGAAAUUGUAAAUAAAUCUUGGGAAAAUUUCUUGGCUCGGACAUCAAACUACGAGGCAUUGAAG